rnacentral:lncRNA from 1 species
CUUUAUGUGUGUGUAGGUUAUAUUUCGACGUUUGGUCUUGAACCGUUGACGUAGAAGAAUGUUAAACUUGAAUUUGUCAAAAGUUAUACAACGCAAGAGGGUAGGCGAAAUACAUGAGUAACAGCGUAGCAGCUGCAUUCAUUUUUUUUGUUAAUUUUCCCUAAAAAGUUGAUCAGUCUACUAAUAGCUUACAAAGACUAGUAUUUUAGUAGUAAAAAACAGGCGGCACAGAAAAGAAGGGAC